UACGGAGGGUGCGAGCGUUGUCCGGAAUCACUGGGCGUAAAGGGCGCGUAGGCGGCCUGAUAAGUAGGGGGGUGAAAUCCUGCGGCUUAACCGCAGGGCUGCCUUCUAAACUGUCGGGCUCGAGCACAGUAGAGGCAGGUGGAAUUCCCGGUGUAGCGGUGGAAUGCGUAGAGAUCGGGAAGAACACCGGUGGCGAAGGCGGGGUCUCUGGGCCGAUACUGACGCUGAGGAGCGAAAGCAUGGGGAGCGAACAGG
rnacentral:rRNA from 1 species